GAUGAACGCUGGCGGCGUGCCUAAUACAUGCAAGUCGAGCGAACAGACGAGGAGCUUGCUCCUCUGACGUUAGCGGCGGACGGGUGAGUAACACGUGGAUAACCUACCUAUAAGACUGGGAUAACUUCGGGAAACCGGAGCUAAUACCGGAUAAUAUAUUGAACCGCAUGGUUCAAUAGUGAAAGACGGUUUUGCUGUCACUUAUAGAUGGAUCCGCGCCGCAUUAGCUAGUUGGUAAGGUAACGGCUUACCAAGGCAACGAUGCGUAGCCGACCUGAGAGGGUGAUCGGCCGCACUGGAACUGAGACACGGUCCAGACUCCUACGGGAGGCAGCAGUAGGGAAUCUUCCGCAAUGGGCGAAAGCCUAACGGAGCAACGCCGCGUGAGUGAUGAAGGUCUUCGGAUCGUAAAACUCUGUUAUUAGGGAAGAACAAAUGUGUAAGUAACUAUGCACGUCUUGACGGUACCUAAUCAGAAAGCCACGGCUAACUACGUG
rnacentral:rRNA from 1 species